rnacentral:rRNA from 1 species
AAUGAACGCUAGCGGCGUGUUUAAGACAUGCAAGUUGAACGGAAAGUUUCUAGUUUACUAGGGACUUUUAGUGGCGGACGGGUGAGUAACACGUGAGCAACCUACCUAUAAGUGGAGGAUAGUCCUGGGAAACUGGGUUUAAUACUCCAUGUGCAUAUAUGUAAAGAUGCCCUCGGGUGUCGCUUAUAGAUGGGCUCGCGAUCUAUCAGCUAGUUGGUGAGGUAAUAGCUCACCAAGGCGACGACGGAUAGCUGGUCUUAGAGGAUGAUCAGUCACACUGGAACUGAGACACGGUCCAGACACCUACGGGUGGCAGCAGUCGAGAAUAAUUCACAAUGGACGAAAGUCUGAUGGUGCAACGCCGCGUGGAGGAUGACGGUUUUCGGAUUGUAAACUCCUGUCAUUGUAGAGUAAGACUUAUGCUUUAAUAGAGUGUAAGUUUGAGAGUAUACAAAGAGGAAGGGACGGCUAACUUCG